UAGGGAAUCUUCCGCAAUGGACGCAAGUCUGACGGAGCAACGCCGCGUGAGUGAAGAAGGAUUUCGGUUCGUAAAACUCUGUUGUUAGAGAAGAACAGCGCAUAGAGUAACUGUUAUGCGUGUGACGGUAUCUAACCAGAAAGCCACGGCUAACUACGUGCCAGCAGCCGCGGUAAUACGUAGGUGGCAAGCGUUGUCCGGAUUUAUUGGGCGUAAAGCGAGCGCAGGCGGUCAAUUAAGUCUGAUGUGAAAGCCCCCGGCUCAACCGGGGAGGGGCAUUGGAAACUGGUUGGCUUGAGUGCAGAAGAGGAGGGUGGAAUUCCAUGUGUAGCGGUGAAAUGCGUAGAUAUAUGGAGGAACACCAGUGGCGAAGGCGACUCUCUGGUCUGUAACUGACGCUGAGGCUCGAAAGCGUGGGUAGCAAACAGG
rnacentral:rRNA from 1 species